rnacentral:rRNA from 1 species
UACGUAGGGUGCAAGCGUUAUCCGGAAUUAUUGGGCGUAAAGAGCUCGUAGGCGGUUUGUCACGUCUGCUGUGAAAACUGGAGGCUCAACCUCCAGCCUGCAGUGGGUACGGGCAGACUAGAGUUCGGUAGGGGAGUCUGGAAUUCCUGGUGUAGCGGUGAAAUGCGCAGAUAUCAGGAGGAACACCGGUGGCGAAGGCAGCCCCUUGGACCUGUACUGACGCUCAUGCACGAAAGCGUGGGGAGCAAACAGG